CCUACGGGUGGCUGCAGUCGAGAAUCAUUCACAAUGGGGGAAACCCUGAUGGUGCGACGCCGCGUGGGGGAAUGAAGGUCUUCGGAUUGUAAACCCCUGUCAUGUGGGAGCAAAUUAAAAAGAUAGUACCACAAGAGGAAGAGACGGCUAACUCUGUGCCAGCAGCCACGGUAAUACAGAGGUCUCAAGCGUUGUUCGGAAUCACUGGGCGUAAAGCGUGCGUAGGCUGUUUCGUAAGUCGUGUGUGAAAGGCGCGGGCUCAACCCGCGGACGGCACAUGAUACUGCGAGACUAGAGUAAGGGAGGGGGAACCGGAAUUCUCGGUGUAGCAGUGAAAUGCGUAGAUAUCGAGAGGAACACUCGUGGCGAAGGCGGGUUCCUGGACAUUAACUGACGCUGAGGCACGAAGGCCAGGGGAGCGAAAGGGAUUAGAUACCCUAGUAGUC
rnacentral:rRNA from 1 species